UUUAACUGAAGAGUUUGAUCAUGGCUCAGAUUGAACGCUGGCGGCAGGCUUAACACAUGCAAGUCGAGCGGGGGAAGGUAGCUUGCUACUGGACCUAGCGGCGGACGGGUGAGUAAUGCUUAGGAAUCUGCCUAUUAGUGGGGGACAACAUCUCGAAAGGGAUGCUAAUACCGCAUACGUCCUACGGGAGAAAGCAGGGGAUCUUCGGACCUUGCGCUAAUAGAUGAGCCUAAGUCGGAUUAGCUAGUUGGUGGGGUAAAGGCCUACCAAGGCGACGAUCUGUAGCGGGUCUGAGAGGAUGAUCCGCCACACUGGGACUGAGACACGGCCCAGACUCCUACGGGAGGCAGCAGUGGGGAAUAUUGGACAAUGGGGGGAACCCUGAUCCAGCCAUGCCGCGUGUGUGAAGAAGGCCUUAUGGUUGUAAAGCACUUUAAGCGAGGAGGAGGCUACUUUAGUUAAUACCUAGAGAUAGUGGACGUUACUCGCAGAAUAAGCACCGGCUAACUCUGUGCCAGCAGCCGCGGUAAUACAGAGGGUGCGAGCGUUAAUCGGAUUUACUGGGCGUAAAGCGUGCGUAGGCGGCUUAUUAAGUCGGAUGUGAAAUCCCCGAGCUUAACUUGGGAAUUGCAUUCGAUACUGGUGAGCUAGAGUAUGGGAGAG
rnacentral:rRNA from 1 species